CAGUAUCAUUAUCACCAUUUUACAGAUGGGAAAACUGACACACAAGGAGACUCAGAGAAAGAGGAAAGAACAGUCUCAUAGACAAGAAAAAGAAGAGGAAAACUGAGAGAUAAGGAGAGAGGACAGUGGAUGGGAAGAGUGAGGACAGUCAGCUGAGAAGCUGCAAUGGUAGAAGUGGCUGGGCUG